GAUCCUUUGGCUCAGGAUGAACGCUAGCGGCAGGCUUAACACAUGCAAGUCGAGGGGCAGCAUAAUGGAUAGCAAUAUCUAUGGUGGCGACCGGCGCACGGGUGCGUAACGCGUAUGCAACCUACCUUUAACAGGGGGAUAACACUGAGAAAUUGGUACUAAUACCCCAUAAUAUCAUAGAAGGCAUCUUUUAUGGUUGAAAAUUCCGAUGGUUAGAGAUGGGCAUGCGUUGUAUUAG
rnacentral:rRNA from 1 species